rnacentral:miRNA from 1 species
CCUCACGACGUGAUAGCGGCGC